AGCGAACGCUGGCGGCAGGCCUAACACAUGCAAGUCGAACGAUCCUUCGGGAUAGUGGCGGACGGGUGAGUAACACGUAGGAACGUGCCCUUUGGUUCGGAACAACUCAGGGAAACUUGAGCUAAUACCGAAUGUGCCCUUCGGGGGAAAGAUUUAUCGCCAUUGGAGCGGCCCGCGUCUGAUUAGCUAGUUGGUGAGGUAACGGCUCACCAAGGCGACGAUCAGUAGCUGGUCUGAGAGGAUGAUCAGCCACACUGGGACUGAGACACGGCCCAGACUCCUACGGGAGGCAGCAGUGGGGAAUCUUGCGCAAUGGGCGAAAGCCUGACGCAGCCAUGCCGCGUGAAUGAUGAAGGUCUUAGGAUUGUAAAAUUCUUUCACCGGGGACGAUAAUGACGGUACCCGGAGAAGAAGCUCCGGCUAACUUCGUGCCAGCCGCCGCCGUAAGAC
rnacentral:rRNA from 1 species